rnacentral:tRNA from 1 species
CAGAACUUAGCUAAACAGCAUAGCAUCUCCCUUACACUGAGAAAUCACCCGUGCAAGCCGGGUAGCUCUGA